AUCGAAGUGGUGAAAUUGGUAGACACAUUAGGUUUAGGUUCUAACUCUAAUAUGAGUAGGGGUUCAAGUCCCCUCUUCGAUA
rnacentral:tRNA from 1 species